rnacentral:rRNA from 1 species
UGUACCCUACGGGGCGCAGCAGUGAGGAAUAUUGGUCAAUGGGCGAGGGCCUGAACCAGCCACGUCGCGUGAGGGAUGACUGCGCUAUGGGUUGUAAACCUCUUUUGUAUGGGGGGAAUAAGCUUUACGAGUAGAGUGAUGACAGUACCAUACGAAUAAGCAUCGGCUAACUCCGUGCCAGCAGCCGCGGUAAUACGGAGGAUGCAAGCGUUAUCCGGAUUUAUUGGGUUUAAAGGGUGCGUAGGCGGCAUUAUAAGUUAGUGGUAAAAUAUUGGGGCUUCACCUCACUACGCCAUUAAUACUGU